rnacentral:rRNA from 1 species
UACGGAGGGUGCAAGCGUUGUCCGGAAUCACUGGGCGUAAAGGGCGCGUAGGCGGCCUGAUAAGUAGGGGGUGAAAUCCUGCGGCUUAACCGCAGGGCUGCCUUCUAAACUGUCAGGCUCGAGCACAGUAGAGGCAGGUGGAAUUCCCGGUGUAGCGGUGGAAUGCGUAGAGAUCGGGAAGAACAUCAGUGGCGAAGGCGGCCUGCUGGGCUGUUGCUGACGCUGAGGCGCGACAGCGUGGGGAGCAAACAGG